UUGUGCGCUCGCUCUCUCUCUCUCUCUCUCUCAAAAAUAAACAUUAAAAAAUAUUUUUAAUAAACAAACAAACAAACAAACUGGAUGCAAGGCACAUGAGCUAUUCUUAGCAAAAUGUUCUGGCUGAAGAAUGUAAUGAUUAGUUAUCAAAACUACUUGAAGCUCUUCAAGAUAUCUUAUUGCUGCAAAGAUAAUCUGCACAUUUAGAGAUCAGAGUCAGCCAGGCAUAUUUGCAAAACAUUACCACACUGGGCUUUAACUGUCCAGCUGGGGUUUGUACCAAAUCGCACCUAACCCCACUCCCAAAUUCAAGGGUAUCAGGGGUGAGAAGAAUACGGAAAUUUCUUACAAAAGGUCCAAGUCGAAAGGCAAAAGCCCUUGAAAAAGAAUGACCUUCUUAAAUUCUGAUAUACAGCCACUCUUCUUCCAUCUCUAUUUCGAAAGAGGAACAUACAUACAAGAAACAGGUGACACUGCUGGCCACAAGAGCUGGGAUGUGGUCACAGAAAUAUGAAAAAUUACAGAGGAAAACAGGAGUCACUCUGGAAUCUCAUCUAGGCGAGCUCUAUUUUGAAAGAAUUAAAAGCAGCCGAGAAAGUAUACUGGCUCUCCAAGGAAAAGAGGCCCUCAAAGCUCGGACAGGAAAUGAACUUGGUGCUUCACCAUCCACACACAGGACCCUGGGCAGGGACUUGGAAGAGAUUGGGGUUAUUAGGAAACAAGAGAACUUCGGAUCAAAAAGCAGCUUUCAAAACUCCUUAAAGUCAAAAUGUUUCAAGAAUAAGAAAGAAGGACAACUUCAACUCAUGUACCUUUACUUGUCCAGUCUCUUGAUUAGAAUAAAGAGGUUACCAGCAACAAAAAGUGGCUAAAUCAAGAGUUUCUUUUAUAUGUUGGAGGAUGCUGGGAUAAAGGCACAGGGGGUCUCAACUCUCCAUGCUUUUUUUAUUUAUUUGUAAUGUUUAUUUAUUUUAGAGAGAGAGAGAGAGAGAGAGAGACAGAGUAUGAGCAGGGUAGAGGCAGAGAGAGAGGGAAACACAGAAUCCGAAGCAGGCUCCAGGCUCUGAGCUGUC